CCAAUAUUGACAAGUGAAAUAUCCGAAACUACGAACAAAUGCCGAAUCUCCAGUUAAUAAGUUAAUAGAUUUAUCUUUAUGCCUGAUGCCAGGAUAAAAAUACCAAAACAAAACACCAAGCAACCUGCCAGACCGACAAGAAAAUGCAGCCUUGUUCGAAGGUUAGCCAUAUACUUAUAUGCUCUUCUAUGACUUGGUAUUGUUUCUUCAAUUUAGUAAAUGCUCACAGUAUCAAUCUCGAUGCGAUAUGCAAGAUUAAACAACGGAAUGUUUCAUCGCUGUAAC